rnacentral:rRNA from 1 species
GACGAACGUUGGCGGCGUGCUUAAUACAUGCAAGUCAACUGAAGCAGUGGUAGCAAUAUCGCUGUGGAGGUGGCGCACGGGUGAGUAACACGUAGGUAAUCUGCCUUCAGGUCUGGCAUAACUCCGUGAAACCGGGGCUAAUAGCAGAUGAUGCAGCGGCUCGACAUCGAGACAGUUGUUAAAGCUAUGGCGCCUGAAGAUGAGCCUGCGUCUGAUUAGCUAGUUGGCGGGGUAACGGCCCACCAAGGCAACGAUCAGUAGCUGGUCUGAGAGGAUGAUCAGCCACACUGGAACUGAGACACGGUCCAGACUCCUACGGGAGGCAGCAGUAAGGAAUAUUGCUCAAUGGGAGAAAUCCUGAAGCAGCAACGCCGCGUGAGGGACGAAGGGCUUUUGCUUGUAAACCUCUGUAGUGAGAGAAAAAAAUCCCAAUCUUUGGGACAUGAUGGUAUCUCAAAAGUAAGCCCCGGCUAACUACGUG